GACGAACGCUGGCGGCGUGCUUAACACAUGCAAGUCGAACGAUGAAGCCCAGCUUGCUGGGUGGAUUAGUGGCGAACGGGUGAGUAACACGUGAGUAACCUGCCCUGGACUCUGGGAUAACCCCGAGAAAUCGGAGCUAAUACCGGAUAGGACCUUUCCCCGCAUGGGGUUUGGUGGAAAGUUUUUCGGUUUGGGAUGGACUCGCGGCCUAUCAGCUUGUUGGUGAGGUAAUGGCUCACCAAGGCGUCGACGGGUAGCCGGCCUGAGAGGGUGACCGGCCACACUGGGACUGAGACACGGCCCAGACUCCUACGGGAGGCAGCAGUGGGGAAUAUUGCACAAUGGGCGCAAGCCUGAUGCAGCAACGCCGCGUGCGGGAUGACGGCCUUCGGGUUGUAAACCGCUUUUAGUAGGGAAGAAGGGCUUCGGCUUGACGGUACCUGCAGAAAAAGGACCGGCUAACUACGUGCCAGCCGCCGCCGUAAUAC
rnacentral:rRNA from 1 species